rnacentral:misc_RNA from 1 species
GUAAGAAUCACCCAGCCCAACCCAACCCAUGGCUUCUUCUUGCCGUACCAUUAUUCCUCGUUUCCAAAAUCAAACCCAUCUGAAAACAAAAUGAACGAAAAUUCCAACAGAGCUGAAGCAGAACGCCUCCUCGGAAUCGCCGAGAAGCUCCUCCAGUCUCGUGAUUUUAACGGCACAAGAGACUUCGCCGUCUUGGCCCAAGAAACGGAGCCUCUCCUUGAAGGCUCAGAUCAGAUCUUGGCCGUGGCUGACGUUCUAUUGUCCGCCGAAAAACGCAUUAACAACCACCACGAUUGGUACGCUAUCUUGCAAAUCGACCGCCGCUCCGACGACCAGGAGCUUUUAAAGAAGCAGUAUCGCCGGCUUGCAUUGCUCCUCCACCCAGACAAGAACAAGUUCCCCCUUGCAGAUCAAGCGUUUAAGCUCGUCGCGGACGCUUGGGCUGUCUUAUCGGAUUCCGGUAAAAAGUUGUUAUACGACAACGAAUUGAGCGUGUUUUCGAGGGUUGAUUUGUCGAAUUCGGGGAAAUUGCCGGUUAGAAAGAGCCAGCGGCCGGCAGCGAAGAAACACGCAGGCGAGAGUGUUAAAACUAACGCGAGUAAUAGCUCAGAGCAUCGGAGUCGGAAGAUGAAGCUAUCGUCGUUUUGGACUGCUUGUCCGUACUGUUAUAUUUUAUACGAGUAUCCUCGGGUUUAUCAGGAUUGCUGUUUGAGGUGCCAGAAUUGCGAGAGGGCGUUUCACGCGGCGUUGAUAUCGUCGUUGCCGCCGUUGGUGCCGGGGAAGGACGCGUACUACUGCUGCUGGGGGUUUUUUCCUUUGGGUUUUAUGUUUGGCAGUUCAGAGAGUGGAGGGAAAAACAAUGGGUCGAGGUCGGGAUCGGGAUCGGGAUCGGGGUCAGGAUUUCCAAAUUGGAUGCCGUCGAUUUUCUCCCCGGAGCAGCAAGUUGGUGAAAAAAAUGGUGUCACCUCCACGGCAGAUACGUCGCCGGUGUUUGCCACGGUGCAGCAAGUGAAUGAUAAAAAUGGUAAUGUGAGUGUAGGUGUAGCACCUGCGAGGACAGGGAUAGCAAGGGGUGGUGGAGGUGUGCAUGUUUCAGGAGGGAGUGCCACGGGGUUUCCACCAAAGAAGAGGGGAAGGCCAAGAAAAUAUCCCCUGCCAAAACGUUUAGGCUGAUGUGAACUGUGAUUUCAUGAUGACACAGAUGAGAAGGUGGACAAAGUUUUAUCAUUUAUGGCCGCGUUGAUAGAGAUAAAGAAGGCUCAAGGAGGAGGUUUUUAUAGCUGGUACAGUUUGGGAAGUCCAUAGGUAUUUUUGUUGACUUGUUUUAGUUUUAUUUAUUGCUUCCCUUGUCGCCCAUUUUCUUUAAUUCUUGUUGUUUGUAGAGUUUAGAUGCUUUUUCUUGUGACUGACUUGUUAAAUUAUGGUCAUGAUAUCGAGCAAUGUCAUUUUACCAAGUUCUCAAUAUGAAUGGGAGAAUUUGAUUGAAGGCAUUCUAAAUGUGAGUAACUUUUCAGUUUACAAGAUGGCCAAAUGGGCCGUGAGCAUGGUAGGCAACAUAUCAAUGGUGGCCCUCCCUUUUUGUAUCUUUUACCAUAAAAAAAUGAAAACUUUACCAUAUUAUAUUAGUGGUUGAAGAUUCAAAUUUGAACCGUCUGCUUAAAGAAGAAUGUGAGAAGGUCAACUAGGCUAAGUCUAAUUACUUGGAAAGUUCCUAAGUAUAUGCAUUCUUUGUACAUAAAAAUUUAUAAGCUUGGAGUGUGUAUUGAGUAAGAUCAUUAAAAAGUGGAUAGGGAGAUUUGAACUUGAGACCCAUUGCUCAUUCUCAAGGAGUGUGAGGAAACCAAGUUAGGCGGAAUUGGUACUGAAAGUGCAUAAUAUUUUCUUUAUUUUGCCAAGUAUAUAUAUUUUAUAGUUAAGGAUUAGUAAGCUUGGAGAGGGUAAAAUCACAAAUUUGGUGCACACAUAAUUGACAAUAAAUUCAUCCUGGCAUAAACUUGGCACUUGUUCUGAACACAGUAACUAGAUUUCAUCUUACAAUAUAAAAAUCAUCACAUGAUAAAAUUUUUGUCCCCAACACACUUCCCCACGGGGUUUUAUUUCUCUUUAACCUAGGCUCUCAACUAUCAUUUAUUUCUUGAUUCCGAUUUUUGAUUUAUGAUGAUUAAUAGACAGUCGAGUUCUGUAAUCAGUUCUACAGGUGUGAACUUUGUCUUUUUAAUUGUGAUGCUGGAAAUGAAUGAUCUGUUAUAUUUUUCCUCAUGGCUUUUUAUCCCUGCUAUGAGAUAAUCGUGUUGAACUAUUAGCUUUGUGACAAAAAUCAACAAGAACAAUAAGAUUUUAGAAAUGUUCUAAGAUGAUUCAAGAUGCAAUUGCAC